GAAAGCUUCUUUAUAUACUCUAGAAGACUUCAAGGAUCAUUUUCAUCUCAAACACAAGUAAAAAAAAUCAAGCUCCAUUGUUAUGUCUUGGUGGGAAUUCAUAGAAUCAUCAGCGCAAAAGAAAGCUAAAAUCGAAUCUUUAACAUCAGCUGAAGGUAUGGAUGCCUUGGAUGACGUUCACCCCUUGAUGGCAACCCAGGACGUUCUGGUGAUGCAUGUGUUCCCCAUUCUUUCUUAGGAGGACGAACUAAGUAUGGAGAGGGUUUGCUAGAAGUGGCGUUUAUGGUGGGGGCUGAGGUACAUUGCUCCCUACCUGCCAUAGCAUGUGAGCAAUAAGAAUGCUUUCGGGGACUGGGCUCUUCAUGAAAUUCUGUAUAAUUUUGGGAGGGACUUCUUUAGCGUGGAUUGAGUAAGACAUGAUAGUGUACUUCGACGACUUUCCUCUACUUAUUUUCAAGGAAGAUUAAGGGCUUGGUUGUAGGGUUGUAGACCUUGUAGUUUUUUACUUAUAAUGGGAGUAGGUUUUUAGGUUGAUGAUGGGUGUUCUAGGUUUACUUUUUCCAUUGUCAUAGCUUAGAAUGUAUGUAGGUUGUGUGAAUGUGACAUUUUUUGGAUAUGUCACUGCUAUGACAAUGUAAUCUAACUUAUUAAUUUGAUUAAGCUUCAAUUAUUAAUCUAGAUAGAUGGAAAUGUAUGUAAUUCAAUGAAGCCUAAUGUAGGAUCUUUUGUAAUGAACAAGGUGAUGGUUGAUGUGAAUGAAUAUAAAUGUUUGUGGCAAAAUACGGGGAUGACUUGUGGCUAGGGGUGAAAGGCCAACCAAGAUCGGAUAUAGCUGGUUUUCCGCGAAAUCUAUUUCAGUAGAGCGUAUGAUGUCGAUGGCCCGAGGUAGAGCACUCAAUGGGCUAGGGUGGCCCCCAUUUCGCCUUACCAACCCCAGGGAAACUCCGAAUACAGGCCUAGAUCGUUUGUACAGACAGACUUUUUGGGUGCUAAGAUCCAAAGUCGAGAGGGAAACAGCCCAGAUCGUACGCUAAGGUCCCUAAGCAAUCACUUAGUGGAAAAGGAAGUGAUCGAGCGAUGACAACCAGGAGGUGGGCUUGGAAGCAGCCAUCCUUUGAAGAAAGCGUAAUAGCUCACUGGUCUAGCUCCAUGGCACCGAAAAUGUAUCAGGGCUCAAGUGAUUCACCGAAGCGACGAGACCUUGAAAGCUGCUUUUUCAAGUGUCAGUAGCGGGACGUUCUGUCAAUCGGGGAAGGUUUUUGGUGACAACACCUGGAGAUAU